rnacentral:rRNA from 1 species
AAGACCCCUUGUAGACGACGAGGUAGAUAGGUUGGAGGUGGAAGUGCAGCAAUGCAUGGAGCUGACCAAUACUAAUCGGUCGAGGGCUUAUCCAAAA